rnacentral:piRNA from 1 species
UUGAAAAUAUAGAAAGUGGGU